GACGAACGCUGGCGGCGUGCUUAACACAUGCAAGUCGAACGAGACGAUUGAAAGCUUGCUUUCGAAAGUCGAGUGGCAAACGGGUGAGUAACGCGUAGACAACCUGCCUUUGAGAUGGGGACAACAGUUCGAAAGGACUGCUAAUACCGAAUGUUGUAUAUUUUCCACAUGGAAGAUAUAUUAAAGAUGGCCUCUAUUUAUAAGCUAUCGCUCAAAGAUGGGUCUGCGUCUGAUUAGCUGGUUGGUGGGGUAACGGCCUACCAAGGCGACGAGCAGUAGCCGGUAUGAGAGGAUGAACGGCCACAUGGGGACUGAGAAACGGCCCAGACUCCUACGGGAAGCAGCAGUGGGGAAUCUUCCACAAUGGACGAAAGUCUGAUGGAGCAACGCCGCGUGAGUGAAGAAGGGUUUCGGCUCGUAAAGCUCUGUUGUCGGGGACGAAUGUGCAGUAUUUGAAUAAAGUACUGCAAUGACGGUACCUGACGAGGAAGCCACGGCUAACUACGUGCCAGCAGCCGCAGUAA
rnacentral:rRNA from 1 species